rnacentral:rRNA from 1 species
AUUGAACGCUGGCGGCAGGCCUAACACAUGCAAGUCGAACGAGUGGCGGACGGGUGAGUAAUGUCUGGGAAACUGCCUGAUGGAGGGGGAUAACUACUGGAAACGGUAGCUAAUACCGCAUACCAUCAGAUGUGCCCAUAUGGGAUUAGCUAGUGGGUGGGGUAACGGCUCACCAAGGGGACGAUCACUAGCUGGGCUGAGAGGAUGACCAGCCCAACUGGAACUUGUACACGGUCCAGACUCCUACGGGAGGCGGCAGUGGGGAAUAGUGCACAAUGGGCGCAAGCCUGAUGCAGCCAUGCCGCGUGUAUGAAGAAGGCCUUCGGGUUGUAAAGUACUUUCAGCGGGGAGGCGUUACCCGCAGAAGAAGCACCGGCUAACUCCGUGCCAGCAGCCGCGGUAAUUC